AUGAAGUUAGUCACAAACCAAACAUAUACCCCUUUGUUUGACCGUGAAAAAUUUCUCCCAUCCCCUUUAUUGUCUUUAAAAAGACAAUAUUAAAAGACUUGGUCCUAUAACCAAGUCUUUUUU
rnacentral:sRNA from 1 species